rnacentral:rRNA from 1 species
AGAACGAACGCUGGCGGCAGGCUUAACACAUGCAAGUCGAACGCCCCGCAAGGGGAGUGGCAGACGGGUGAGUAACGCGUGGGAAUCUACCUAGUUCUACGGAACAACAGUUGGAAACGACUGCUAAUACCGUAUACGCCCUACGGGGGAAAGAUUUAUCGGAAUUAGAUGAGCCCGCGUAAGAUUAGCUAGUUGGUGGGGUAAUGGCCUACCAAGGCGACGAUCUUUAGCUGGUACUGAGAGGAUGAUCAGCCACACUGGGACUGAGACACGGCCCAGACUCCUACGGGAGGCAGCAGUGGGGAAUAUUGGACAAGUGGGCACAAGGCCUGAUCCGAGCCAUGCCGCGUGAGUGAUGAAGGCCUUAGGGUUGUAAAGCGUCUUUCGAGUGGGGAAGAUAACGUGGACGUACCCAAGAGAAGGACG